rnacentral:rRNA from 1 species
AUGGGCGAAAGCCUGAUGCAGCGACGCCGCGUGAGGGAUGACGGCCUUCGGGUUGUAAACCUCUUUCAGCAGGGAAGAAGCGAAAGUGACGGUACCUGCAGAAGAAGCGCCGGCUAACUACGUGCCAGCAGCCGCGGUAAUACGUAGGGCGCGAGCGUUGUCCGGAAUUAUUGGGCGUAAAGAGCUCGUAGGCGGCUUGUCGCGUCGGUUGUGAAAGCCCGGGGCUUAACCCCGGGUCUGCAGUCGAUACGGGCAGGCUAGAGUUCGGUAGGGGAGAUCGGAAUUCCUGGUGUAGCGGUGAAAUGCGCAGAUAUCAGGAGGAACACCGGUGGCGAAGGCGGAUCUCUGGGCCGAUACUGACGCUGAGGAGCGAAAGCGUGGGGAGCGAACAGGAUUAGAUACCCUGGUAGUCCACGCCGUAAACGGUGGGCACUAGGUGUGGGCGACAUUCCACGUCGUCCGUGCCGCAGCUAACGCAUUAAGUGCCCCGCCUGGGGAGUACGGCCGCAAGGCUAAAACUCAAAGGAAUUGACGGGGG